GUGAGUAACACGUGGGCAAUCUGCCCUGCACUCUGGGACAAGCCCUGGAAACGGGGUCUAAUACCGGAUAUGACCGUGGUCCGCAUGGACUGUGGUGUAAAGCUCCGGCGGUGCAGGAUGAGCCCGCGGCCUAUCAGCUUGUUGGUGGGGUAAUGGCCUACCAAGGCGACGACGGGUAGCCGGCCUGAGAGGGCGACCGGCCACACUGGGACUGAGACACGGCCCAGACUCCUACGGGAGGCAGCAGUGGGGAAUAUUGCACAAUGGGCGAAAGCCUGAUGCAGCGACGCCGCGUGAGGGAUGACGGCCUUCGGGUUGUAAACCUCUUUCAGCAGGGAAGAAGCGCAAGUGACGGUACCUGCAGAAGAAGCACCGGCUAACUACGUGCCAGCAGCCGCGGUAAUACGUAGGGUGCGAGCGUUGUCCGGAAUUAUUGGGCGUAAAGAGCUCGUAGGCGGCCUGUCGCGUCGGAUGUGAAAGCCCGGGGCUUAACCCCGGGUCUGCAUUCGAUACGGGCAGGCUAGAGUGUGGUAGGGGAGAUCGGAAUUCCUGGUGUAGCGGUGAAAUGCGCAGAUAUCAGGAGGAACACCGGUGGCGAAGGCGGAUCUCUGGGCCAUUACUGACGCUGAGGAGCGAAAGCGUGGGGAGCGAACAGGAUUAGAUACCCUGGUAGUCCACGCCGUAAACGUUGGGGACUAGGUGUUGGCGACAUUCCACGUCGUCGGUGCCGCAGCUAACGCA
rnacentral:rRNA from 2 species